CUUGGUCAUUUAGAGGAAGUAAAGGUCGUACCAGGUUUCCGUAGGUGAACCUGCGGAAGGAUCAUUAACGAAUAACUAUGGUGUCUUGGUUGUCGCUGGCUCCUCGGAGCAUCGUGCACGCCCGCCAUUUUUAUCUAUCCACCUGUGCACCGAAUGUAGGUCUGGAUGACUCUCGUCUCCGGGCGGAUGCGAGGUUUGCGUGUGCGUAGCGCGUUCGCGCGCGUUGCGUACGGGCUCACCUCGAAUUUCCAGACUCUACGUCUUUUUACACACCCCAAACGUAUGAUGCAGAAUGUAGUCAAUGGGCCUUUAAAAGCCUAUAAAACACUAUACAACUUUCAGCAACGGAUCUCUUGGCUCUCGCAUCGAUGAAGAACGCAGCGAAAUGCGAUAAGUAAUGUGAAUUGCAGAAUUCAGUGAAUCAUCGAAUCUUUGAACGCACCUUGCGCUCCUUGGUAUUCCGAGGAGCAUGCCUGUUUGAGUGUCAUUAAAUUCUCAACCUCACCCGUUUUCUGAACGGUUCUCCGAGGCUUGGAUGUGGGGGUUUGUGCAGGCUGCCUCAGCGCGGUCUGCUCCCCUGAAAUGUAUUAGCGAGAUUCAUAUCUGAACCUCCGUCUAUCGGUGUGAUAAUUAUCUACGUCGUUGACUUGGUUCGGACUCGCUUCUAACCGUCCGCGAGGACAACAUUACUUGACAAUUUGACCUCAAAUUCAGGUAGGACUACCCGGCUGAACCUAAGCAUAUCAAUAAGCGGAGGA
rnacentral:rRNA from 1 species